GUCUACAGCCAUACCACAUUGAAUGUGCCUGAUUUCAUCUGAUCUUGGAAGCUAAGCAGGGUCGGGCCUGGUUAGUACUUGGCUGGGAGAUUUGCGUUCUAGUUA
rnacentral:rRNA from 1 species